AUCCAACUGACGAAUCGAAAGUAAGGCGAAACAUCCGUCUUGGAU
rnacentral:hammerhead_ribozyme from 1 species